rnacentral:rRNA from 1 species
AGAGUUUGAUCAUGGCUCAGAUUGAACGCUGGCGGCAGGCCUAACACAUGCAAGUCGAGCGGUAGAGAGAAGCUUGCUUCUCUUGAGAGCGGCGGACGGGUGAGUAAUGCCUAGGAAUCUGCCUGGUAGUGGGGGAUAACGUCCGGAAACGGACGCUAAUACCGCAUACGUCCUACGGGAGAAAGCAGGGGACCUUCGGGCCUUGCGCUAUCAGAUGAGCCUAGGUCGGAUUAGCUAGUUGGUGGGGUAAUGGCUCACCAAGGCGACGAUCCGUAACUGGUCUGAGAGGAUGAUCAGUCACACUGGAACUGAGACACGGUCCAGACUCCUACGGGGGGCAGCAGUGGGGAAUAUUGGACAAUGGGCGAAAGCCUGAUCCAGCCAUGCCGCGUGUGUGAAGAAGGUCUUCGGAUUGUAAAGCACUUUAAGUUGGGAGGAAGGGCAGUAAAUUAAUACUUUGCUGUUUUGACGUUACCGACAGAAUAAGCACCGGCUAACUCUGUGCCAGCAGCCGCGGUAAUACAGAGGGUGCAAGCGUUAAUCGGAAUUACUGGGCGUAAAGCGCGCGUAGGUGGUUCGUUAAGUUGGAUGUGAAAUCCCCGGGCUCAACCUGGGAACUGCAUUCAAAACUGACGAGCUAGAGUAUGGUAGAGGGUGGUGGAAUUUCCUGUGUAGCGGUGAAAUGCGUAGAUAUAGGAAGGAACACCAGUGGCGAAGGCGACCACCUGGACUGAUACUGACACUGAGGUGCGAAAGCGUGGGGAGCAAACAGGAUUAGAUACCCCGGUAGUCCAA